GUCCCUGUCGAUUAGUGGUUAAAUCAUCACGUUGUGGCUUACCUCAGCGCAAUCCGUGAAGCCAGCGGCUCGAAUCCGCUCAGGGACA